UUUUGUAUGUGUAAUUAACAG
rnacentral:piRNA from 1 species